AUGGAUAGGUUUCUAAAAAAGAGGAGAACCUCAGUGCAAGAUGAAAAUGUUGGUCCGUCACACGAACAUAAUCAGAACGAUGGCUCAGUUCCGCCACCAUCGGAUGGACAAAUUGAUGCAUCACCACAUGAACAGACUGAUGUUCCAGCCCCGCCAUCACCACAUGGACAAAAUGAUGCCUCCACACAUGAACCUAGUUCUGCCAAUACUACAAGGAAUUCAUCUCAAGUUGAAGAGAUCAAUUGGGAAGAAGAAAUUCAGUUUGAUCCAGGUAAAAGGAGAAGCAUAGACGAGUACCAUCCCAAUCAGAGAGAUAUGGUAAGAAGGAAGUAUUUGGCCAAUGGCCCUUGUCAACCUCGUACUGCUGAUUUUGAAGUGACAGAAAUAUGUGGUAAAGAUAGAAGGUUCGUUCGGGAAUGGUUUGAUGAGUUUGGGAGCUGGACCGCGCAAGAAGAAAGAAGCCGGAUAUGAUGCAUUUGUUGCAAAUGGUUGGUCAAGUUGGAAUAAAAAAUAUAGAUUAAAGGAGCAUGUAGGAGACAUCAAUAGUGCUCACAACCAAGCAAAAAGAGAUUGUGAUGCUUUGCUGAAACAAAAG
rnacentral:rRNA from 1 species